CCCUGAGGCACAGAAGCCCUUCAGGAAAAUGCAGCAACAGCAGGAAGAGGAAAGUCUGAGCAGCAGCAGUGACCUCACAGUUGCCUGUCUUGGAGAUGAGUGGGAUAUAUCUUGAGGAAGAGAAUACCAUGCAGCAGGAACAGCAAGUACAGAGGCCCUCUAGAGGGAGCAUACGUGGUGUUUCUAGGAACAGCAAAGAAGCCAGUGCAGCUGGACCACAACAGGCUCUAUAAUCACAGUGACAUUCUGAAAGAAGACCUUGAAGCCUGUGGAACAGCUGUCCUUCACCAGCCUCCGAGACUCUUACCUGGAGGUGGCAGCCAUGAAAAGCAAGUCAGAUCUGAACAAGCGUCAGCCUCAGGCUUGUUGAGGGCACAGUUGGGUCAGCACAUGGCCACCUUGAAAGAACGUGAUAAUUCUAUCACAGAAGAGGUAGCUAAGAAGUCUGAAGUUUUCCUAGUCAAAAACGUGGACCAGAGGACAGGGGUUAGUAAUUUUUAUUUUUUUUAAUAAGUUUCAAGAUGUACAAAUUAUUCAUUUAAGGAAAUAGUCAUG